UUGCAGAGUAUAUACUAGUCUCACUAAGCCAAUAGAUUUCCCUGGAUCCAGGCUUGGAGAAAACAAUGGUUUCUCUUCUCUAUCUGCAAUUUUCCUGAAGCCAAUUCUGACAGAUAUUAAAACUGUGUCAAUCACAAAAGAGGAACAGAAUGGGCUUUAAAUCCCUCCUUUGCAGCCAUCCAAGGCAGCUUCUUCUCCAAAGGGGAGGUCUGAAGCACUUCAUCUUAAGGAUAAAACCAAUUGGCUACAAAUCAUUUUAGCUGAUGCCCUGAGACAGUUCUGUAGCAAACUAUCUUAUCCUGGACUUUCUCAGUAACUGGAGUUGAAGGACAUGAAGAUUCUCAAGGGUUGAUCCAGAAAAUGUUCCAGCAUACAGCUACGGCAGAGUAACUUUGGCAAAAAAAGUUCACUUGCUACCUAAGGAGAGUCUCUGUCUCCUGACCUCUGAAUUUCUAAAUCUUCAGCUCUGGCUGCCACACAGUGG